rnacentral:rRNA from 1 species
AUUGAACGCUGGCGGCAUGCCUUACACAUGCAAGUCGAACGGCAGCACGGGAGCAAUCCUGGUGGCGAGUGGCGAACGGGUGAGUAAUAUAUCGGAACGUGCCCAGUCGUGGGGGAUAACGCAGCGAAAGCUGUGCUAAUACCGCAUACGAUCUACGGAUGAAAGCGGGGGAUCGCAAGACCUCGCGCGAUUGGAGCGGCCGAUAUCAGAUUAGCUAGUUGGUGGGGUAAAGGCCUACCAAGGCGACGAUCUGUAGCUGGUCUGAGAGGACGACCAGCGACACUGGAACUGAGACACGGUCCAGACUCCUGCGGGAGGCAGCAGUGGGGAAUUUUGGACAAUGGGCGCAAGCCUGAUCCAGCAAUGCCGCGUGCAGGAUGAAGGCCUUCGGGUUGUAAACUGCUUUUGUACGGAACGAAACGGUGAGCUCUAAUACAGUUUGCUAAUGACGGUACCGUAAGAAUAAGCACCGGCUAACUACGUGCCAGCCGCCGCGGUAACAC